UGCAGUCGAGCGGACAGAAGGGAGCUUGCUCCCGGAUGUUAGCGGCGGACGGGUGAGUAACACGUGGGUAACCUGCCUGUAAGACUGGGAUAACUCCGGGAAACCGGAGCUAAUACCGGAUAGUUCCUUGAACCGCAUGGUUCAAGGAUGAAAGACGGUUUCGGCUGUCACUUACAGAUGGACCCGCGGCGCAUUAGCUAGUUGGUGAGGUAACGGCUCACCAAGGCGACGAUGCGUAGCCGACCUGAGAGGGUGAUCGGCCACACUGGGACUGAGACACGGCCCAGACUCCUACGGGAGGCAGCAGUAGGGAAUCUUCCGCAAUGGACGAAAGUCUGACGGAGCAACGCCGCGUGAGUGAUGAAGGUUUUCGGAUCGUAAAGCUCUGUUGUUAGGGAAGAACAAGUGCAAGAGUAACUGCUUGCACCUUGACGGUACCUAACCAGAAAGCCACGGCUAACUACGUGCCAGCAGCCGCGGUAAUACGUAGGUGGCAAGCGUUGUCCGGAAUUAUUGGGCGUAAAGGGCUCGCAGGCGGUUUCUUAAGUCUGAUGUGAAAGCCCCCGGCUCAACCGGGGAGGGUCAUUGGAAACUGGGAAACUUGAGUGCA
rnacentral:rRNA from 1 species